GGGUACAGGGUUUAAACAUGAGAUUUGAAAACUAUUAGCCUAGACUGUGUAGCUCUAACUAUCCUAAGGGGACCUAUGGGCUAUAUGGUUUUGGAACCCACUACUAAAAAGUACCAGUGCAUGUUUGCCGCAUGAACUAAGAAAAAUCCAAAGAAGGGCCACGGAAUCCAUAACCCCAACCAUUCCAAAAUAUAUAUCAAGUGUGAACUGU
rnacentral:lncRNA from 1 species